AUACGAAGGGGGCGAGCGUUAUCCGGAAUGAUUGGGCGUAAAGAGUUCGUAGGCGGUAUUUGUUGUUACAUGUAAAAUCCUAGGUUUAUUACUUAGGUCUGCGUGUAAUACUCUUUUUACUUGAGUAUAGUAGAGGAUAACAGAAUUUCAUACAUAGGGUUAAAAUCCAAUUAUUUAUGAAGGAAUGUCAAUGGCGAAAGCAGUUAUCUGGACUAUUUACUGACGCUGAGGAACGAAAGCAUAGGUAGCAAACAGGAUUAGAUACCCUGGUAGUCUAUGCUGUCAAAGAUGAGUGCUAAUAUUUUGGGG
rnacentral:rRNA from 1 species